rnacentral:rRNA from 1 species
ACCUGACUGCUAUCGGAUUGGUACUAAGCCAUGCGAGUCAUUGUAGCAAUACAAGGCGGACGGCUCAGUAACACGUAGUCAACCUAACUCGUGGACGUGGAUAACCUCGGGAAACUGAGAAUAAACCACGAUAGAUCAUAGUGCCUGGAAUGGCUUAUGGUCCAAACAGUUUACUGCCAUGGGAUGGGACUGCGGCCUAUCAGCUUGUUGGUGAGGUAAUGGCCCACCAAGGCGAUUACAGGUACGGGCUCUGAGAGGAGAAGCCCGGAGAUGGGUACUGAGACACGGACCCAGGCCCUAUGGGGCGCAGCAGGCGAGAAACCUUAGCAAUGUGCGAAAGCACGACUGGGUCAGUCCGAGUGAUUCCUGAUAAAGGAGUCUUUUGCCUGUCCUAAAAGCACAGGUGAAUAAGGGGUGGGCAAGUCUGGUGUCAGCCGCCGCGGUAAUACCAGCACCUCGAGUGGUCAGGACGUUUAUUGGGCCUAAAGCAUCCGUAGCCGGCUCUGCAAGUCUUCGGUUAAAUCCACCUGCUCAACAGAUGGGCCGCUGGAGAUACUACAGAGCUAGGGAGUGGGAGAGGCAGACGGUAUUCAGUGGGUAGGGGUAAAAUCCUCUGAUCCAUUGAGGACCACCAGUGGCGAAGGCGGUCUGCCAGAACACGUUCGACGGUGAGGGAUGAAAGCUGGGGGAGCAAACCGGAUUAGAUACCCGGGUAGUCCCAGCUGUAAACGAUGCAAACUCGGUGAUGCAUUGGCUUAUGGCCAAUGCAGUGCCGCAGGGAAGCCGUUAAGUUUGCCGCCUGGGAGGUACGGACGCAAGUCUGAAACUUAA